rnacentral:rRNA from 1 species
AGCAGCCGCGGUAAUUCCAGCUCCAAUAGCGUAUAUUAAAGUUGUUGCAGUUAAAAAGCUCGUAGUUGAAUUUCGGGAUCAAUAUGUCUGUCGUGCCUUCGGUACGUACGGGUAUAAUUGGUUUCUACCUUCUGAUGAACCUUGAUGCCAUUAAUUUGGUGUCUUGGGGACUCAGGACUGUUACCUUGAAAAAAUUAGAGUGUUUAAAGCAGGCCAUACGCUUGAAUACAUUAGCAUGGAAUAAUGAAAUAGAACGUUCGAUUCUAUUUUGUUGGUUUCUAGGAUCGACGUAAUGAUUAAUAGGGAUAGUUGGGGGCGAUUAGUAUUCAAUUGUCAGAGGUGAAAUUCUUGGAUUUAUUGAAGACUAACUACUGCGAAAGCAUUUGCCAAGGAUGUUUUCAUUAAUCAAGAACGAAAGUUAGGGGAUCGAAGACGAUCAGAUACCGUCGUAGUCUUAACCAUAAACCUAUAGCCGACUACGGGAUCGGGAUGGAUGUUAAUUUUUAAUGACUCAUUCGGC